GGAGGUGUGGCACAGUGCCUAGGGUCGUUCAGUGUUGCCCAGAAAGUCAGCGCGUGCACAAGGCUCUUCCUCUCUCACUAACAACUCCGCUACACUCGCCCGAAAUGAGUUGGCCGUCAGCCUACGGUUACAAGUACACUCCCAUCGGCCUCCGCCAGCGGGAGAAGAAGGAUGACGCCUCAGGCACGCGUUCCAUCUGCACCACCGUCCACCUGCCACAAGGGGGACACCUGCUGGACAUCGAGAGGCAGUAUGGUAUCGAUGGAUCCAUGUCCAAACGGGAGACGCAGAACAUGGAGCCCUCCGCCGUGCCUCCGGUGACCCGACCUCCCAUCAGGGCCUCGUCCCCGAUCUUCGGCGGAGACUUCGACCCUCACGCCUACGAGCCCCGAUCCUUCGCUCCCUCGGACUUCGAGCGACAGGCGGACGAUAUCAUCGCAAACUUCCGCGCCAGGCAGGGCUUGCCCCUUGAGCCCAAACUGUGCCCCUGCAAGGUGGGCGUCUAUGCAGGCACAGGCUGCACGUGCUUCAAGUCCAAGCUCCUCCAGGUUCUUGCCUAAGCCCCGGGGCUAGCUAAGACAACGCCGCUCUUGUGCCAAGGACCCGAUAUCAACAUUCAGCUAACCACUUCCUGUCCUGGGGUUACCUGGGAGGAAAACCAGGCCAGCAGUUUGUGUCUUCUCUUGACUAUUAACACAGACCAAGAGGCGGCACUCUCAAACCCCUCAGACACGUGAGAAGGGCUAUGAGGAAGGCAGAAGAGGAAGAUUACUACUACUAAACGGUUGAAGGAGACCUCCACCACACA
rnacentral:misc_RNA from 1 species